rnacentral:rRNA from 1 species
CCUACGGGCGGCAGCAGUGGGGAAUAUUGGGCAAUGGGCGCAAGCCUGACCCAGCAACGCCGCGUGAAGGAAGAAGGCUUUCGGGUUGUAAACUUCUUUUGUCAGGGACGAAGCACGUGACGGUACCUGACGAAUAAGCCACGGCUAACUACGUGCCAGGAGCCGCGGUAAGCCGUAGGUGGCAAGCGUUAUCCGGAUUUACUGGGUGUAAAGGGCGUGUAGGCGGGACUGCAAGUCAGAUGUGAAAACCACGGGCUCAACCUGUGGCCUGCAUUUGAAACUGUAGUUCUUGAGUACUGGAGAGGCAGACGGAAUUCCUAGUGUAGCGGUGAAAUGCUUAGAUAUCACGAAGAACUCCGAUUGCGAAGGCAGUUCACUGGACUGCAACUGACACUGAGGCUCGAAAGUGUGGGUAUCAAACAGGAUUAGAUACCCCAGUAGUC